CCAAUCAAACGGAAGUCUGAGAGAGGUUCUCCAGGCCCCUUCCCAAUCAGGAAACUUGGGUGAUGCGAGGAGCGAAGGGGCGGAGGGGGGAGCCGGGUCCAGUUGGGAGCGGAGCGCCGGCGAUUUUGGCUGGUCCGCGAAGGGCAUUCGAGUGACCGCCGGCCACGGUUGGGACAGCGGCGGGCCAGGGGCGAGAACCUGAAGUGAAUGCUCGCAGGACUUGCCUCUGGGUGCGCUAGUUUGUGUGUGUCAGAGUUCGGUGACAGACAUACUUAGCAUCCCACUCACGGGCGGUUUUCCACGGGGCGAUUUCAUCCAAGGAGGAAUUCUCGGGCGCGCUGUGUGACACCGGGAAGGGAUGUAGCGCGUCACUGCCGCCUUCAAUCCAGCAGGGAUAUAGUAAAUAAAGAAAAGUAGAUGCGGGUCUCCGCUCCACCGGGCGCAGGUGGGCAGACUCCAGACAGACAGAGGCAACAGCUGAAUGCGCACAAGGGAGUAAAUACUGAGCGAGGUGCGGCUGGGAGGACCAAAAAAAAAAAAAAGGCGAAGUGCACAGCUUUUGAUUAUACAGGUCGUGGAUACAUCACGAACCUGAACCUCAGCCCUACCACACUAGAGGCGAGGGGGGAAAAAAAUCCAAUGUAGCCGAAAUAGACUGUGAAAGGACCUUAGAGAUGAUCUAAAUCAAGUCCUGCAUUUUACAGAUGAGUAAACUGACUCAGCGAGGUAUUUGGCCCAAGGUCAUCCAUCAAGUUGGUAGUUUAAUUAAACUCUGUGCUAGGAAGCAGGGAUUAGGAGAGCAUGGACCUCGGAGUCUGAAAUCCUGGUUUCGGGUCCUUGCAGGCUGUUUGAAAAGUGCGUCUUGGGCACAUCUCUGUAAACAUGUUACCAUGUAUUGUUUACCACGUGGCAGACAACCCGCCUUACAUGCCAUUUGCAUGACGUGCGGUGCAUUGCACAGUUAUUCCUAUUUCCAUUUCAUAGGGCAGCUUGGGUUUAAAGAUACUAGUGACUCCCUCCCCACCAAAGUCGCACAGUUCUAAUAUAGCAAUAAUUCAAACUCAGGUCUUCCAGACUCCAGUCUGGCGUCUUGAAUAUUACAGUCCACUGCAGCUCCCCGGUUCCUCCCCGCCUAAAGCAGGCACUGAUACUCCAACUUUCACAAUUCCUUGAAGUCAGUUGAGAUUGUAUACGUGGAAAUGUGUCGGAAACUGUGGAAAGAUGUAAGCGUAGUCCCUAGAUUUCUGUAAUGAAGAUGUUCGCUUUGCGUAGUUUGCACUAUAGCACUUCAACCUGGAAGAUGGCUUUCAUACUGAGCCAGUUUAAGAACGGAUCUCGCUAUCACUAUAUAUCUUAAUGAAGAAAUGCGUGCCUAUCUGAAAGCACAACCAAACAGAAUAAAUACUAAUUUCUGAUAGAUCAAAAAGGGAGUAGAAAAGAAUACUUAACCCUGCUCUCAGUGUCCUUUAUUGGAAGAAGCAUAUUGGAGGCGCUGGGGUUUCUGGUGGCUUUUAAGUGAUGAAACAUAGAUGAAACAUAGAUUCCUCUACUGAUAGAGGAAGAGAGAGGGUUUAGUUUGAGACUAAAAGUUUAUCUGCUACAUGAAAAAUACAUCUGCCUCCAUCAGGAAAGAACAUAACACUGAGAUCUGAAAGAAAAGAAAACAAGAGUUACAGACAGUGAUUGGGAGAGACAGAAACAAAGGUCUUCCAUCUCCUGGUUCACUCCCCAAUGGCCGCAACUGCUGGAACUGUGCCGAUCUGAAGCCAGAAGCUAGGAGCCUCCUCCAGGUCUCCCAUGCAAGUGCAGGGGCUCAAGGACCUGGGCCAUCCUCCACUGCCCUCCCAGGCCACAGCAGAGAGCUGGAUCAGAAGAGGAGCCACCAGAACUAGAACCGGUGCCCAUAUGGGAUGCCAGCACCAAAG